GAUGAACGCUGACAGAAUGCUUAACACAUGCAAGUCUUUGGCGAAGCUGUGCUUGCUCAGCCUAGCCAAGGCGGACGGGUGAGUAACGCGUAAGGAACUUGCCCUGCAGUCAGGGAUAACAGACGGAAACGACUGAUAAGACCUGGUAAAGUCAGGCGGACUCAUGUCCAGCCUGAUGAAAAGAGAUGCUGCAGGAGAGCCUUGCGUCCUAUUAGCUUGUUGGUGGGGUAACGGCCCACCAAGGCGAUGAUAGGUAGCCGGCCUGAGAGGGUGGACGGCCACAAGGGGACUGAGAUACGGACCUUACUCCUACGGGAGGCAGCAGUGGGGAAUAUUGGACAAUGGGGCAACCCUGAUCAAGCAAUUCUGUGUGCACGAUGAAGGUUUUCGGAAUGUAAAGUGCUUUCAGCAGGGAAGAAAAAAAUGACGGUACCUGCAGAAGAAGCGACGGCUAAAUACGUG
rnacentral:rRNA from 1 species